GAUGAACGCUAGCGGCAGGCUUAACACAUGCAAGUCGAGGGGCAGCAUAAAUAGUAGCAAUACUAUUGGUGGCGACCGGCGGACGGGUGCGUAACGCGUAUACAACCUUCCCUAAACAGGGGGAUAAUCUGGAGAAAUUCGGUCUAAUACCCCAUAACAUCAGAGCAGGCAUCUGUUUUGGUUAAAAUUUCCGGAGGUUUAGGAUGGGUAUGCGUAGCAUUAGCUAGUUGGUGAGGUAACGGCUCACCAAGGCGACGAUGCUUAGGGGGACUGAGAGGUUACCCCCCCACACUGGUACUGAGACACGGACCAGACUCCUACGGGAGGCAGCAGUGAGGAAUAUUGGUCAAUGGGCGGAAGCUUGAGCCAGCCAUGCCGCGUGCAGGAUGACGGCUCUAUGAGUUGUAAACUGCUUUUGUACGAGGGUAAAGUGGGCUACGUGUAGCCUUUUGAAAGUAUCGUACGAAUAAGGAUCGGCUAACUCCGUGCCAGCCGCCGCCGUAA
rnacentral:rRNA from 1 species